GUGGGGAAUAUUGGACAAUGGGCGAAAGCCUGAUCCAGCAAUGCCGCGUGAAUGAUGAAGGCCUUAGGGUUGUAAAAUUCUUUCAGUAGGGAAGAUAAUGACGGUACCUACAGAAGAAGCUCCGGCUAACUUCGUGCCAGCAGCCGCGGUAAUACGAAGGGAGCUAGCGUUGUUCGGAAUUACUGGGCGUAAAGAGCGCGUAGGCGGUCUGUAAAGUUAGAAGUGAAAGCCCAGGGCUUAACCCUGGAACUGCUUUUAAAACUCACAGACUAGAGAUUGGUAGAGGAUGGUGGAAUUCCUAGUGUAGAGGUGAAAUUCGUAGAUAUUAGGAGGAACACCGGUGGCGAAGGCGGCCAUCUGGGCCAAUACUGACGCUGAGGCGCGAAAGCGUGGGGAGCAAACAGG
rnacentral:rRNA from 1 species